UACGUAGGGAGCGAGCGUUGUCCGGAUUUACUGGGUGUAAAGGGUGCGUAGGCGGCUCUGCAAGUCAGAAGUGAAAUCCAUGGGCUUAACCCAUGAACUGCUUUUGAAACUGUAGAGCUUGAGUGAAGUAGAGGUAGGCGGAAUUCCCGGUGUAGCGGUGAAAUGCGUAGAGAUCGGGAGGAACACCAGUGGCGAAGGCGGCCUACUGGGCUUUAACUGACGCUGAGGCACGAAAGCAUGGGUAGCAAACAGG
rnacentral:rRNA from 1 species